AACUUGGCAGAGAUGCCUUGGUGCCUUCGGGAACGCUGAGACAGGUGCUGCAUGGCUGUCGUCAGCUCGUGUUGUGAAAUGUUGGGUUAAGUCCCGNAACGAGCGCAACCCUUUAUCCUUUGUUGCCAGCGAUUCGGUCGGGAACUCAAAGGAGACUGCCGGUGAUAAACCGGAGGAAGGUGGGGAUGACGUCAAGUCAUCAUGGCCCUUACGAGUAGGGCUACACACGUGCUACAAUGGCGCAUACAAAGAGAAGCGACCUCGCGAGAGCAAGCGGACCUCAUAAAGUGCGUCGUAGUCCGGAUCGGAGUCUGCAACUCGACUCCGUGAAGUCGGAAUCGCUAGUAAUCGUGGAUCAGAAUGCCACGGUGAAUACGUUCCCGGGCCUUGUACACACCGCCCGUCACACCAUGGGAGUGGGUUGCAAAAGAAGUAGGUAGCUUAACCUUCGGGAGGGCGCUUACCACUUUGUGAUUCAUGACUGGGGUGAAGUCGUAACAAGGUAAGCGUAGCGAG
rnacentral:rRNA from 1 species